rnacentral:rRNA from 1 species
AUGGUGCUGCUCGGGAACCUCACGGCAAGUCCGGCGGCCGCCGUCAUCCGGCAGGCGCAGCGCGCAGACGGCCCUGCGUCCGUGCUCGCCAUCGGCACGGCCAACCCGGCCAACUGCGUGCUGCAGCAAGAGUACGCCGACUACUACUUCCGGGUCAUCAACGCAGAGCACGACACCAAGCUCAAAUCCAAGCUUCACAGAAUCUGUAAAAGCUCGGCCAUCAAGAAGCGUUACUUCUACCACACCGACGAGAUGCUGCGAGACCAUCCUGAGCUCAUAGACCGGACAUUGCCAUCCCUGGACACCCGGAUGGGCAUAGCCACCACCGCCGUUCCCGAGCUCGCGGCAGCUGCCGCGACCAAGGCUAUGGCGGAGUGGGGGCGCCCGGCCACCGACGUGACCCACCUCAUCGUCGGCACCUACUGCGGCGCACACAUGCCGGGCGCCGACGUCCGGCUGGCUUCCCUCCUCGGCCUCGCCCCCUCCGUCCGCCGCACCAUGCUCUACCUCAACGGCUGCAACAGCGGCGCCACCGCGCUCCGGGUCGCCAAGGACAUCGCCGAGAACAACCGCGGCGCGCGCGUCCUCGUGGUCUGCGCCGAGCUCACUCUCAUCCUGCUCCGCGCCCCCGAGGACGAGGCCGACAAGGCCACGCUCAUCAUGCAGGCCCUGUUCGGUGACGGAGCGGCCGCCGUGAUCGUCGGCGCAGACGUGAACCGCGGCUCUGUCGAGUGCCCGCUCUUCGAGAUGGUGGCCGCGUCGCAGGCCGUGAUACCGGAGUCUGAGCGCGCCGCGGCCGGACGGCUCGGCGAAGACGGGCUCCUCUUCCGCCCCGCCGUUGAGAUGACAACGCUGAUUCGCGAGAACGUCGAGCAGUGCCUGGUAGAGGCGCUGGCGCCGCUCGGCCUGAGCGGUGGCUGGAACCGUCUCUUCUGGGCGGUGCAUCCAGGGGGGCGAGCAAUCUUGGACGGCGUGGAGGCGGUGCUCCGGCUGGACUCCGAGAAGCUGGCGGCAAGCCGCCAUGUGCUGAGCGAGUACGGGAACAUGUCUGGGCCGACGGUGAUCUUUGUGCUCGACGAGAUACGGCGACGCCGCGGAGAGCUUGGGGUUGGACGUGACGGCCUGGGUGUGCUACUGGGGCUCGGACCGGGAAUUUCCGUUGAGACCAUAGUGCUGCACGCCACCGGUAAUUACUAG